AGUGAACGCUGGCGGUAGGCCUAACACAUGCAAGUCGAACGGCAGCACAGUAAGAGCUUGCUCUUACGGGUGGCGAGUGGCGGACGGGUGAGGAAUACAUCGGAAUCUACUUUUUAGUGGGGGAUAACAUAGGGAAACUUACGCUAAUACCGCAUACGACCUACGGGUGAAAGCAGGGGAUCUUCGGACCUUGCGCGAUUGAAUGAGCCGAUGUCGGAUUAGCUAGUUGGCGGGGUAAAGGCGCACCAAGGCGACGAUCCGUAGCUGGUCUGAGAGGAUGAUCAGCCACACUGGGACUGAGACACGGUCCAGACUCCUACGGGAGGCAGCAGUGGGGAAUAUUGGACAAUGGGCGCAAGCCUGAUCCAGCCAUACCGCGUGGGUGAAGAAGGCCUUCGGGUUGUAAAGCCCUUUUGUUGGGAAAGAAAAGCAGCAGGUUAAUACCCCGCUGUUCUGACGGUACCCAAAGAAUAAGCACCGGCUAACUUCGUG
rnacentral:rRNA from 1 species